GCCCGGCUAGCUCAAUUGGUCAGAGCGUGUGACUUUUAGAAAUAAACGUUAUCCCAAGGUUGAGAGUUCGAGUCUCUCGUCGGGCG